rnacentral:rRNA from 1 species
GGCUAAGCUAUUAAGAGCGAACGGUGGAUGCCUUGGCGUCAAGAGGCGAUGAAAGACGUGGCAAGCUGCGAUAAGCUUCGGGGAGCUGCUAAACAAGCUUUGAUCCGGAGAUUUCUGAAUGGGGAAACCCGUCCAGGGUAGUGCCUGGACAUCUUCAGCUGAAUACAUAGGCUGUUGAGGCGAACGAGGUGAACUGAAACAUCUAAGUAACCUCAGGAAAAGAAAACAAUUGUGAUUUCCUAAGUAGCGGCGAGCGAACGGGAAACAGCCCAAACCGAAUAUAUGUUAAAGCCCGAAAGCGUUGUAUAUUUGGUGUCGUGGGAUUCGAUCGGGUAGAGUUUCGGAUCUGCCGGAAAGUGAUAAAUCUGAUUCAUAAUUGAAAAGCCUGGAAAGGCUUACCAGAGAAGGUGAUAGUCCUGUAGAUGAAAUGGAUCAGACUUUCUGGAUCGAACACCCAAGUACCGCGGGACACGAGGAACCCUGUGGGAAUUUAGGAGGACCAUCUCCUAAGGCUAAAUACUACUUGACGACCGAUAGCGAACAAGUACCGUGAGGGAAAGGUGAAAAGUACUCCGGUGAGGAGAGUGAAAUAGUACCUGAAACCGUUUGCUUACAAGCAGUGGGAGGGCUAUGAAUCUUGCCUAGGCAUUAUUCGGCCUGACUGCGUGCCUUUUGCAUAAUGAGUCAGCGAGUUACUUUACGUAGCAAGAUUAAGCCGCUUAGGUGUAGUCGUAGCGAAAGCAAGUCUUAACAGGGCGUAUUAGUUGCGUGGAGUAGACCCGAAACCAAGUGAUCUAUCCAUGGCCAGAGUGAAGCGCAAGUAAAAUUGCGUGAAGGCUCGAACCGUUGUAGGUUGAAAACUGCUCGGAUGAGCUGUGGAUAGGGGUGAAAGGCCAAACAAACUUGGAAAUAGCUGGUUCUCCCCGAAAUAUAUUUAGGUAUAGCCUUGCAAAUUAAGUGACGGGGGUAGAGCACUGGAUGGGCUAGGGGUCCUAUCAGAUUACCAAACCUAACUAAACUCCGAAUACCGUUAACUUUUAUUGCAGGAGUCAGACUGCGGGAGCUAAGUUCCGUGGUCGAGAGGGAAACAGCCCAGAUCGCCGGCUAAGGUCCCUAAAUAUACGCUAAGUGGAGAAGGAUGUGGAAAUGCACAGACAACCAGGAGGUUGGCUUAGAAGCAGCCAUCCUUUAAAGAAAGCGUAACAGCUCACUGGUCGAGUGAGUCUGCGCCGAAAAUGUAACGGGGCUUAAGCGUAUUACCGAAGCUGCGAAAUUUUUCCCGAUUUAUCGGGAGAGAUUGGUAGGGGAGCAUUCUGUUUGGGUUGAAGAUUGACCGUAAGGACGAUUGGACUAAACAGAAGAGACCAUGCUGACAUAAGUAACGAUAAAGCGGGUGAAAAACCCGCUCGCCGUAAACCUAAGGUUUCCUGAGUAAAGCUAAUCUGCUCAGGGUUAGUCGAUCCCUAAGCCGAGGCCGAAAGGCGUAGGUAAUGGAAAACAGGUUAAUAUUCCUGUACCACCGUGUUAUCGUUUGAGUGAUGGGGGGACGCAGAAGGGUAGAUCAUCCAUCUGUUGGAUUAGGUGGUUCAAGCCUGUAGGCUGAAAGGAUAGGCAAAUCCGUCCUUUUAUUAUAAAAGCCGAGAGGUGAUGAGGAUCCCGCUUGCGGGAAUAAACUGAUUGAUCCCAUACUGCCAAGAAAAGCCUCUAGCGAGAUAACAAGGUGAUCGUACCGCAAACCGACACAGGUAGGUAGGGAGAGAAUCCCAAGGCGCUUGAGAGAACCCUGGUUAAGGAACUCGGCAAAAUGACACCGUAACUUCGGGAGAAGGUGUGCCCUUAUUAGGUGAUUCAAUCUGAUUUUUUUGUCGGGCUUGCGGAGCUGAGGGGGGUCGCAGAGAAAUGGCGGUAGCGACUGUUUACUAAAAACAUAGGACUCUGCUAAGUCGCAAGACGAUGUAUAGGGUCUGACGCCUGCCCGGUGCUGGAAGGUUAAGGGGAGAUGUUAUCCGGCACUCAACUGUUCCUAUAGAGCAUGGAUCUCUGUGGGAAGAGUUGAGUGCCGGAGAAGCUUUGAACCGAAGCCCCAGUAAACGGCGGCCGUAACUAUAACGGUCCUAAGGUAGCGAAAUUCCUUGUCGGGUAAGUUCCGACCUGCACGAAUGGCGUAACGACUUCCGCACUGUCUCAACCAGGGACUCAGUGAAAUUGUAUUGGCGGUGAAGAUGCCGUCUACCCGCGAAAAGACGGAAAGACCCCGGCACCUUUACUACAGCUUGACAUUGAAUUUUGAAAUAACAUGUGUAGGAUAGGUGGGAGGCUUUGAAGCCGGAACGCUAGUUUCGGUGGAGCCACCCUUGAAAUACCACCCUUGUUAUUUUAGGGUUCUAAUUUCGACCCGUUAUCCGGGCGAAAGACAGUGUCUGGUGGGUAGUUUGACUGGGGCGGUCGCCUCCCAAAGAGUAACGGAGGCGCGCGAAGGUUCCCUCAGGCUGAUUGGAAACCAGCCGUGGAGUGUAAAGGCAUAAGGGAGCUUGACUGCGAGAGAGACAUUUCGAGCAGGUACGAAAGUAGGUCUUAGUGAUCCGGCGGUUCUGUAUGGAAGGGCCGUCGCUCAACGGAUAAAAGGUACGCCGGGGAUAACAGGCUUAUCGCCCCCAAGAGUUCACAUCGACGGGGCGGUUUGGCACCUCGAUGUCGGCUCAUCACAUCCUGGGGCUGGAGCAGGUCCCAAGGGUUUGGCUGUUCGCCAAUUAAAGUGGUACGUGAGCUGGGUUUAAAACGUCGUGAGACAGUUUGGUCCCUAUCUUUCGUGGGCGCAGGAUAUUUGAGAGGAGCUGUUCCUAGUACGAGAGGACCGGAAUGGACGAACCAAUGGUGUUCCAGUUGUCGCGCCAGCGGCAUUGCUGGGUAGCUAAGUUCGGAAUGGAUAACCGCUGAAAGCAUCUAAGCGGGAAGCCAACCUUGAGAUUAGAUAUCCCUUUCCCGUGGAAACACGGGAAACUAAAGACCCCUUGUAGACUACAAGGUUGAUAGGCCAGGUGUGUAAGUUCAGUGAUGGAUUCAGCUAACUGGUACUAAUCGGUCGUGCGGCUUGACCAU